GACGAACGCUGGCGGCGUGCUUAACACAUGCAAGUCGAACGGAAAGGCCCUGCUUUUGUGGGGUGCUCGAGUGGCGAACGGGUGAGUAACACGUGAGUAACCUGCCCUUGACUUUGGGAUAACUUCAGGAAACUGGGGCUAAUACCGGAUAGGAGCUCCUGCUGCAUGGUGGGGGUUGGAAAGUUUCGGCGGUUGGGGAUGGACUCGCGGCUUAUCAGCUUGUUGGUGGGGUAGUGGCUUACCAAGGCUUUGACGGGUAGCCGGCCUGAGAGGGUGACCGGCCACAUUGGGACUAAGAUACGGCCCAGACUCCUACGGGAGGCAGCAGUGGGGAAUAUUGCCCAAUGGGAGGAAGCCUGAUGCAGAAACGCCGCGUGCGGGAUGACGGCCUGCGGGUUGUAAACAGCUUUAGCCUGUGACGAAGCGUGAGUGACGGUAAUGGGUAAAGAAGCACCGGCUAACUACGUG
rnacentral:rRNA from 1 species